UCCAAUGUGGUGUAGUGGCUAACAUUGCUGUCUUUCAUGUCAUUCCGGUGUUCCGGGUAAUCAUACACAGCAGCCCGGGGUUCGAUUCCCCGCAUUGGAA
rnacentral:tRNA from 1 species